AAAGGAAUUGACGGGGACCCGCACAAGCAGUGGAGUAUGUGGUUUAAUUCGAAGCAACGCGAAGAACCUUACCAGGUGUUGACAUCCCUCUGAAUCCAUUAGAGAUAGUGGCGGCCUUCGGGACAGAGGAGACAGGUGGUGCAUGGUUGUCGUCAGCUCGUGUCGUGAGAUGUUGGGUUAAGUCCCGCAACGAGCGCAACCCUUAUGCUUAGUUGCCAGCACAUUAUGGUGGGCACUCUAAGCAGACUGCCGGUGACAAACCGGAGGAAGGUGGGGAUGACGUCAAAUCAUCAUGCCCCUUAUGACCUGGGCUACACACGUACUACAAUGGCCGGUACAACGGGCUGCGAAAUCGCGAGAUGGAGCCAAUCCCACCAAAGCCGGUCUCAGUUCGGAUUGCAGGCUGCAACCCGCCUGCAUGAAGUCGGAAUUGCUAGUAAUCGCGGAUCAGCAUGCCGCGGUGAAUACGUUCCCGGGUCUUGUACACACCGCCCGUCACACCACG
rnacentral:rRNA from 1 species